CUUGUUCUUUAAAUAGGGACUCGUAUCAACGGCAUCACGAGGGUUACACUGUCUCCUUCCUCCAAUCAGUGAAACUGAUCUCCCCGUGAAGAAGCGGGGAUGAACUAAUAAGACGAGAAGACCCCAUGGAGCUUUAAACCUCACAGCAACUCUAAUAUUUAAUUCCUCAUAAUUUACAGGGCAGUGCACGUCGGUUUUAGGUUGGGGCGACCGCGGAGUAAAAAUUACCCUCCACGACGAAAAGAACUAAAUCUUUAUUUAAGAGCAACUACUCUAAAAAUUAGCACACUAACGAACAAUGAUCCGAUUAUCGAUCAACGGACCAAGUUACCCUGGGGAUAACAGCGCAAUCUACUUCAAGAGCCCAUAUCAACAAGUAGGCUUACGACCUCGAUGUUGGAUCAGGGUAUCCCGGUGGUGCAGCCGCUACUAAUGGUUCGUUUGUUCAACGAUUAAAACCCU
rnacentral:rRNA from 1 species